UAUUUUUAUUAUAAGGAUGAAACGAUUGGCUGAAUUGUGAUGACCCCUCCUCUUUCAGAGUUUCUCUUCCUCAAGUUGUCUUUAUGAGUCUCAUGCGAUCGUCUCUUAUUCUCUUCAUCUCUCCACUAAACUCAAACUGCUCAUCAUACAGACAAGAUGCUGAUCAUAUUCUACACUCUCCUCACUGUUCUGUCGUCAUUAUUCUACAGCACUGCUCAUCUUUACACUCAACACACACCAAAUCACAAGAUGAUGACAAUAUUCUGCACUUUCUGCACUCUUCUCACCUGUGUCAGUGGUGUGACUGUAGUGACUCAGAAUCCUUCAGUUCUCACAGUGAAUAAAGGACAGAAAGUCACUCUCAACUGUAAUAUGGGGACAGUUAUAAAUUCUGCUAGAUGGUAUAAACAGACUCCAGGAGGAGUUCCUCAGUAUGUGUUAAACUUUCAACAUGACUGGAGAGUUUCUCUUCCUCAAGUUGUCUUUAUGAGUCUCAUGCGAUCGUCUCUUAUUCUCUUCAUCUCUCCACUAAACUCAAACUGCUCAUCAUACAGACAAGAUGCUGAUCAUAUUCUACACUCUCCUCACUGUUCUGUCGUCAUUAUUCUACAGCACUGCUCAUCUUUACACUCAACACACACCAAAUCACAAGAUGAUGACAAUAUUCUGCACUUUCUGCACUCUUCUCACCUGUGUCAGUGGUGUGACUGUAGUGACUCAGAAUCCUCCAGUUCUCACAGUGAAUAAAGGACAGAAAGUCACUCUCAACUGUAAUCUGGGAAUAAGUACUGACUCUAUUAAAUGGUAUAAACAAACUCCAGGAGGAAUUGCUCACCACAUUCUAACUCUGAAGUAUGACUGGAGCGAGCAUUGAUUUCUCGUUUGGAAGGAUGCGUCCUCCGGAGGUCACAUUUGUCGGCCGCACACGUCAUCGAAGCUGUCUCGUUUCAGAAAAGCGAGUAGGACACUUUGAAUGCGACCUUCUUUCACGGGAAUUCGGAGGAUGCAUGAGGUGUAUCCUUCGUGGGCACUCACAACCCACAAUUCUUUGCUUCAACGGAAAUGUCGAAAAAAAAUUAUGCCAAUUUGCCCUUAAAUAUGAUGUUCAAAUGCAAGUAAUGUUAAUUCCUAAGUUGAAGUACCUCAGUAGAUGUGUGCAGAGUAUAUAAUAUGUAUAAUUAUAUUAAUAUAUAAUUAAAAUAAAGUAUUAGACUAAAAGUAUACCUGUGAAAUCUAUUUUCUUUUCUCUUUACAUCAUUAUAAGUCUCCUAAAAUGUACCUCAUACAUUCCCUUCUAAAGGGACUUUGUUCCCUUCUCACUCGAAGCGCUCGCGCUUGUUAAAGAGUGGCGUGCUGUCAUAGCAACCAUGUUACGUUCCGUUCCCGUUUGUCCUAUGAAGGCUGUCUUGUUUAAACGAGACUUGUUUAAAGGAGGACACUCGGUAUACCGCAGCCUUCAAAGGAUGUGUCCUACCUAGCAUACAGCCUUCCAAACGAGACACAGCCUUAGUAUAUCUGUGUUUGACUUAAGCAUUAUUAUAUAAUUAUCAAAUGAAGUGUAGCCUUUAAAUUUAAACUCAUAAUGUGUUAAUUAACCAACAGGCUGUAAAUGUUUAAAAAAUAUAUUUUCUGAGUGUUAUUAAAAUAAUACCAACUAAGUCCAAAUGUAUAGAAUAUUGUUUUUAUGUCUUUUAUUGUUUUGGGGGGGGGGGGGGGGGGGUUUGAAACAAGCUGCUAUGAUUGUGUUACAUUGACAUGAUAUGAUUGUUUCAUUUUGAGUCUUGGUAUUUCAGUUAAAAAUCUUUGGGAUUUUGAAUGACAGCUGUUUUUGUUUUCUUUAUCUAACAGAGCACUUACAGUGAUGAGUUUUCACAUUCAUUGAAUCAUUAUUUUAAUUUAAUUUUAUGUUUUAUUUAUAACAGAAAAUAUGUAUUUUGUGCCAGAAACCACAUUGUCACCGAAAUCGUCUACAGAUGAUCUAACAGUGAUUUAACAGUAUAAUAUCCCUGUUCAUCUCUUCUAACUCAGGAUACACCAUCUUCAACACCCCGUUCUUUAUUUAGCUGUAUGUAAAUUAUUUUUCUCUGUUCUCACUUAGAAUGGAAAGACACAAACUCAGUCUGUUAAGAAACAGAUUGUUACUAUCUUCCCUUGAAUGGCAACCAUACAAUGCAGUGAUUGUUGCUGAGUAGAAUGACUAAUUGAUACUCACAAUAACAGAUGUGCAAUCUAAGUAGUAUUUUGGCCAAAUGGGCCCCAUACAGUCUCCCAACUCUCGUACAGUUAAGCUGUUCUUCUGAAAUGUGAUAUCUGUGAUGUUGAUGCCGACCUAAAUAAAUGAUAUUUCAAACAUACUAUUAACAAACAUCUUUACAACAAGGCACAGCAUGAGGGUCAUUCUACAUAACAGGUGCGAUUUGUGCUCCUUAUAUACAGUACAUAUGUGUUAAAAAAGACUUCAUGAAUAUCUGUUGCCAGAUUUUACUUUGUUGUUAUAGAUAUUCUUCUAAUCACAACAUAAAAAAAAUCAAGUAACCAUUUUAAUUGUACAUGGGUUUUUUUCUUGUAUAUUUUGUUAAAAACAAUAUAUAUAUAUUGUAAUAAAAGCUAU